rnacentral:lncRNA from 1 species
GAGAGCGCCUGGGGCAGAUGCAGCUUCGUCUCAUUUACGUGUACGUGCCAAAGGUGGAUGUCAGUCCAUGUACUUCUUCAUGUACAUCCAUGUCAGAUGUACUUCUUCAGGAAGUACUCAGCUCUUGCCCGGCCCUAACACCUCUGAGGCAGAGGGGUAACAUCUGACACAUGUGCUCUGUCUAACCUUCAGUGAACUCAGCAGACCAAUGGUCUCAUGGAAAAGC